rnacentral:lncRNA from 10 species
UUUUUUUGAGAUGGAGUCUCGCUCUGUCGCCCAGGCUGGAGUGCAGUGGUGUGACCUCGGCUCCGUCUCCCAGGCUCAAGCAAUUCUCCUGCCUCAGCCUCCUGGGUAGAUGGGAUUACAGGCUCCCACCACCACGCCUGGCUAAUUUUUGUAUUUUUAAUAGAGACAGGGUUUCACCAUAUUGGCCAGGCUGGUCUGGAACUCCUGACCUUGUGAUCCACCCGCCUCGGCCUCCCAAAGUUCUGGGAUCACAGGCAUGAGCCACCUCACCCUGGCCAUUAGGCUCAUUUUUAAGGGAUCAUUAGUAUAAUGACUGAGUUAAUGGGUGGGGGCAGGGAACCAUUAGCCCUGCUGAUGAAGGAGGGUAUCUACAGCUGUCUCCUUCUCCCUGCACUUUACCCCCAUAGCUGGAGAGGCAUGAUCCCUUGGGGGACCCUCCUUGUUGCCUCCCUCUACCUGCCCCUCUUCAGCCUGGCCUGGUUGCCCUCUGGGUAAUAACGUCCCAGAAAAAGUGUGUGAGGUGACAAGAUGGAGAACUGGGGGCUCUGGCUCUCUGGGGGAAAAUAAAUGUAAAUUGUAAUUAAAUUGUUCAUCUUGACUGUGUGCUGCCUGGGUUGGAGAGAGCUGGGCAGCUGCUGGGGAGGAGGUGAGAGCAGCAAUGGCAGGCAGGGUGCAGGACAUCAGGCUGAGGGGUGUGUGGGGUGGGGAAGAGUUACCAGCGAUCCUUUGAGGCUCCUUGUCUCUCUGGUCCAGUGG